rnacentral:ncRNA from 1 species
ACCGAUUCCGGAGAAGCUGACGGGAGCCCCAGGGAGAGUUCUCUUUUCUUUGUAAAGGGCAGUGCGCCCUGGAAUGGGUUCGCCCCAAGAGAGGGGCCCAAGCCCUGGAAAGCAUUGCGGUUUUGGCAACAUCUGGUGAGCUCUCCCUGGACCUUGAAAAUCCGGG